GUUGUCCGGAUUUAUUGGGCUUAAAGCGCGUGUAGGCGGCCAGACAGGUCAGCUGUGAAAACUCGAGGCUCAACCUCGAGACGUCGGUUGAAACCGUCUGGCUAGAGUCCGGAAGAGGAGAGUGGAAUUCCCGGUGUAGCGGUGAAAUGCGCAGAUAUCGGGAAGAACACCCGUGGCGAAGGCGGCUCUCUGGGACGGUACUGACGCUGAGACGCGAAAGCGUGGGGAGCGAACAGG
rnacentral:rRNA from 1 species